rnacentral:lncRNA from 1 species
GGUUUCUGAAUGGAAGUUGCGUGGAUAUAAUACGGUUUGACUGACCAGAUAGCAGGUUUGUAAGCUUUUUGGCAAUGGAGUUCCUGACCAUGAAACCAACGCCAGAUAGACGUUUUUCUGCUUCCGGUUUUCCUGACCAGUAUAAGGUGUAACCUACAGCAUGUUCUUGUAGAUUACUUUCCUCAGGGAGGCAGACUUUACUGAGAGCAGCUAUGUUUACAUCCAGCCUGGCAAGUUCGAGUGCAACUAAGGCUGAGCAACGUUUGGGAUGAUUGCUGUCUUUUGAGUCAACAUAAUUCUGAUAUUCCAGCAAGCAAGCUUGAGUCCCUUUCCACCUCUGGGUGAGUUAUGAUUCCUCAUUGUGUUUUGACCACAGUUUAAGAUGCUUGUUAGCUGCGGUAAGCCAACUAGGUGUUUGGGAGAUGAGCUUUGUUUGGAGCACAUUUUCUAGGUUCAUCUCCAUGUGGAGCAAGUGGCCCUGUCCCUAAAAAGGGCUGCUUGGUCAUCUCCAGGUCAACAUCAGAUGACUCAAACACCCGAGUCACCUGCAUGCAGGAUUGAGACUGCUUCAUCCGCCGUUUUCGCCUCUUUCCUAUGUUGUCUCGGAUGUGGCGCUUGGAGCCAGCACGUGAGAGAUUUAGGAGAUGGAUGGGGACCAGAGUUUCAGGCCAUCCUACUGGUAGGAUGCAGCUGUGAAAUAGCAAAGCUUAUGCAAUGCAAGUCUCAGUGACCUUCUACACCAAAAACACUGACAGAAAACACGACAUGGAUGCUAGUUUAUCUUUUGUUAACAUUUUCUAGUUCAAAAUGACUGGAAAUAAAAAAUACAUCACCCUCA